CUGCACACCGGAAAGCUCCAAAGAUGCUCAAGAAACUGGACUCUUAACCUUACUUUGUCAAACAUUUUCUUUUGCCUUUCCAGUAUCCCAAUCCUACUGUACGUUUUUUAUUCCUCUUAUUUUAUUCUUCAUAUUUUACUUUCCAAUACUGAGUUCUAUUAAAUUUCAACAAAUAAGAGAGUUAUCAAGGACAAAUAGUAUAUGUGAAGUCUCAUGCUCAGGUGUUUAAGAAAGAAAAGAUCCCAGUACUUGAGCGAUUUUGACUCCAGCUGAAAAGAUUGAAUAGAAGAUGUUAGUAGUUCAUUAAUAAAAAUAAACCUGGAGUUCUAGAUUGCCAAUCAUCAGCUGCAUUUCUUCAGUUUAACGAUGAACUUUGAAUCCUUUCUGGGUGCCAGUCACUAAGCUAAACUCUGGGGGAUCUCAAAACCAGUAAGACAGUUUAAACAUGGAGUGAAAAUAUACUUCAAACUGAAACAUGAUGCCGCCAAAUGGUAUAAGUCACUGAAAGGAAUAAACAACACAUUUAUGGAGUCUGAAUCAUACCUGGAAAAUAUGUUUAUUUAAGGAGAAGAAAGGAAAGAUUCUGACAGCAAACGUUUCUUUGAACUUGAAGAUUGAGGGGUUUUUUUUUUUUUGACCUCUGACAAGUUUUAAGCUAAUGUUAAAACAAAAUGUAACUGUUUAUCAACAAAAAUCUAAAUCUCAUUAAACUUGAGAAUAUACAUUUAUUGAGGCAUAUACCUUUUUGGCUCUACCGAAUGCCCUGGAAUAGAGGAAGAACUAGAUAAAUAUUCACUAAAUGAAUAAAUGACUGGGCUCAUUGCAUGACAAGACAGUUCUUAAACUCACAUGUUUAAAUACAAUAAAUGCACUGAAGAACAAAACAAAGAGGAGUCAUUUAAGAUGUGCUUAAGUGCAUCCUAUUAUCUAUUUUAUGGAACUAGUCCAUAUUUAGACAAUUGUUGCUUAGAGAUCAAUGACAGGUGCAUUGCAUAUCUUUCACUAUUAAAAAACAUAAUUGAUAGUGUGGAUUGAGUUUUUAGUAAUAUUUUUGCCUCUGUUCUUAUUAUUUCUACUAACAUUGGCAAUAGCAA